rnacentral:rRNA from 1 species
AUUGAACGCUGGCGGCAGGCCUAACACAUGCAAGUCGAGCGGGGACUUCGGUCCUAGCGGCGAACGGGUGAGUAAUGCUUGGGAAUCUGCCCAGUAGUGGGGGAUAACGUCCCGAAAGGGACGCUAAUACCGCAUACGUCCUACGGGAGAAAGAGGGGGAUCUUCGGACCUCUCGCUAUUGGAUGAGCCCAAGUCGGAUUAGCUAGUUGGCAGGGUAAUGGCCUACCAAGGCGACGAUCCGUAGCUGGUCUGAGAGGAUGAUCAGCCACACUGGAACUGAGACACGGUCCAGACUCCUACGGGAGGCAGCAGUGGGGAAUAUUGGACAAUGGGCGAAAGCCUGAUCCAGCCAUGCCGCGUGUGUGAAGAAGGCCUUCGGGUUGUAAAGCACUUUAAGCGGGGAGGAAGGUUCGCGGCCUAAUACGUCGCGGAAUUGACGUUACCCGCAGAAUAAGCACCGGCUAACUCUGUG